rnacentral:rRNA from 1 species
UGGGGAAUAUUGCACAAUGGGGGAAACCCUGAUGCAGCGACGCCGCGUGAACGAAGAAGGUAUUCGUAUCGUAAAGUUCUGUCCUAUGGGAAGAUAAUGACAGUACCAUAGAAGAAAGCUCCGGCUAAAUACGUGCCAGCAGCCGCGGUAAUACGUAUGGAGCGAGCGUUGUCCGGAAUUAUUGGGCGGAAAGGGUACGCAGGCGGUUUAAUAAGUCGAAUGUUAAAGAUCGGGGCUCAACCCCGCAAAGCAUUGGAAACUGAUAAACUUGAGUAGUGGAGAGGAAAGUGGAAUUCCUAGUGUAGUGGUGAAAUACGUAGAUAUUAGGAGGAAUACCAGUAGCGAAGGCGACGUUCUGGACACAAACUGACGCUGAGGUACGAAAGCGUGGGGAGCAAACAGG